rnacentral:rRNA from 1 species
CCUACGGGAGGCAGCAGUGGGGGAUAUUGCACAAUGGGGGCAACCCUGAUGCAGCGACGCCGCGUGGGUGAAGAAGCGCCUCGGCGCGUAAAGCCCUGUCAGCAGGGAAGAAAAGGACGGUACCUGAAGAAGACGCCCCGGCUAACUCGGUGCCAGCCGCCGCGGUAAUACGUAGGGGGCAAGCGCUAUCCGGAUGUACUGGGUGGAAGGGGGGCGCAGACGGCGAUGCAAGCCAGGAGUGAAAGCCCGGGGCCCAACCCCGGGGCUGCUCUUGGAACGGCGUGGCUGGAGUGCAGGAGGGGCAGGCGGAAUUCCUGGUGUAGCGGUGGAAUGCGUAGAUAUCAGGAGGAACACCGGUGGCGAAGGCGGCCUGCUGGACUGCAACUGACGUUGAGGCCCGAAAGCGUGGGGAGCAAACAGGAUUAGAUACCCUUGUAGUC